rnacentral:piRNA from 1 species
UAAACUACUGAUAGACAGAAUAAACCUUUUC